UACAGAGGGUGCAAGCGUUGCUCGGAUUUACUGGGCGUAAAGCGUACGCAGACGGUGAGAAAGGUCGGAUGUGAAAGCCCCGGGCUCAACCCGGGAACUGCAUCCGAAACCAUCUCGCUCGAGUGUGGGAGAGGGAAGCGGAAUUCCUGGUGUAGAGGUGAAAUUCGUAGAUAUCAGGAGGAACACCGGUGGCGAAGGCGGUUCUCUGGGCAUUACCUGACGCUGAGGAGCGAAAGUGUGGGGAGCGAACAGG
rnacentral:rRNA from 1 species